GCCUCUGUGGUGUAAUGGUAGCACAUUCACCUGACAAGUGAGAGAUCCGGGUUCGAGUCCCGGCGGAGCAAGUA
rnacentral:tRNA from 1 species